rnacentral:rRNA from 1 species
UACGUAGGGUGCGAGCGUUGUCCGGAAUUAUUGGGCGUAAAGAGCUCGUAGGCGGUCUGUCGCGUCGGAUGGUGAAAACUCGGGGCUCAACCCCGAGCCUGCAUUCGAUACGGGCAGACUAGAGUUCGGUAGGGGAGACUGGAAUUCCUGGUGUAGCGGUGAAAUGCGCAGAUAUCAGGAGGAACACCGGUGGCGAAGGCGGGUCUCUGGGCCGAUACUGACGCUGAGGAGCGAAAGCGUGGGGAGCGAACAGG